rfam:Slackia sp. CM382 contig00014, whole genome shotgun sequence.
GGACAUACGUUUCCGCUACCGAAGACAGCAGGUACCUACGGGUUCAAUUGCAAGAGCAGCCGGCCGAGGUGGUAAGCAAAAGCGAUUCUUUUGCGGCCCCUGAGUCUUCAUGGCACAGGGGCCGUUUCCUUUUCGUUGU